GCAUCGAUGAAGAACGCAGCGAAACGCAAUAGGUAAUGUGAAUUGCAGAAUUCCGUGAAUCAUCGAAUCUUUGAACGCACCUUGCGCUCCAUGGCAUUCCGUGGAGCAUGCCUGUUUGAGUGCCGCGAAAUCUCCCACCCCUAGCGGUUGCCGCAAGGCGCCGCCGGGCGGCGGGGUUGGUUGGGUGCCGCUGCCUGGGCUUUGGCCCAGGCUCGCCCGAAAUGCAUGAGCGCUUAGCGCUCGCACCGUCUCGAGGGAAGGCGGCGGAGCUGGCAUCUGCGCAUGGCAUGAUACGUCAUUUGCUGUGUGGCAGCCCAGCGACCCGAGAGUGUGUGUGCGCUACUACACGCCCUUUCAUUUCUGGUCUCAAAUCAGGUAGGAUCACCCGCUGAACUUAAGCAUAUCAAUAAGCGGAGGAA
rnacentral:rRNA from 1 species